GCCUAUGUAGCUCAGGCGGUAGAGCACUACAUUGGUAAUGUAGAGGUCGGCAGUUCGAGUCUGCUCGUAGGCUCCA
rnacentral:tRNA from 2 species